GCCCGGUUAGCUCAAUCGGUAGAGCGUGAGACUCUUAACUAGAACAUCUCAAGGUUGCGGGUUCGACCCCCGCAUCGGGCU
rnacentral:tRNA from 1 species